GUUCUAGGGCAGAAGAAAUGCAAGAGUGGUGCCUGCCUCCCUGCAUCUGCCUGUUCCUCUUUGGGCAGUCCUUGCACCUGAGCCCUGGGAGCUGCCAGAGCUGGAGGAGCCGUGGACAUCUUGUGAACAGGGGAUGUUUGCUGUCCAGCUAUGAUUCCCAGCACAAGCAAGGUCUGCAAUCUGAGGUUUUGGGUCUAAGACAGCAGCUGCCAUCUGGGGCUCUCCUCCAGGGCACCUUGCUCACUCAGUGCCCUGGCUAUGGUGGAUCCUCCCGUGGCCAUUCACAGUUCCUUCCGUGUGGUUCAUCAGAGCCUGAGGAUUCUUAACAGCUGUGAGGAAAAUCAAACUUCCAGGAAAAGCUGGGUGCAGAAAAAGAACUGGAGUCAUUAUGCUGGGUUGGGAAGCCUAUGGAGACAGCAGGUUUGGUCUAAUCACAUGGACAGAGACCAGGAUUGCACCACAGCUCUUGUUCAAAAGAAACCAAAUUCUGAGGAACAGUAAGUGGCUUGAAUUAUAAAUUAGUUGCAUCUAUGUGUGAAGGAUUUGCUUAUGAGGUUGGGAAUUUCCUUGUCAUGACCUUGUGAAAGCCUGGGGAAGGGGCACAGAUCCCUCAGCAACCACUGCUGCCACCAGCAGCACCAAACCAUGUCCUGGUGCCCCCGUGCAGCACCUGCAGGGUGUCAUCCCCCUGUCCCUGCUCAGUGUAAUCCCCUGUCC